rnacentral:rRNA from 1 species
UAAAACCAGCACCUCAAGUGGCCAGGAGGAUUAUUGGGCCUAAAGCAUCCGUAGCCUGCUCUGUAAGUUUUCGGUUAAAUCUAUAUGCUCAACGUAUAGGCUGCCGAAAAUACUGCAGUGCUAGGAAGUGGGAGAGGUAGACGGUACUUGAUAGGAAGGGGUAAAAUCCUUUGAUCUAUCGAUGACCACCUGUGGCGAAGGCGGUCUACCAGAACACGUUCGACGGUGAGGGAUGAAAGCUGGGGGAGCAAACCGGAUUAGAUACCCGGGUAGUCCCAGCUGUAAACGAUGCAGACUCGAUGAUGCAUUGGCAUAUAGCCAGUGCAGUGUCGCGGGGAAGCCGUUAAGUCUGCCGCCUGGGAAGUACGUACGCAAGUAUG